rnacentral:rRNA from 1 species
GACGAACGCUGGCGGCGUGCCUAAUACAUGCAAGUCGAGCGAAGCGGCGGAUGGGUGAGUAACGCGUGGGUAACCUGCCCUUCAGUCUGGGAUACCAUUUGGAAACAGAUGCUAAUACCGGAUACUAAAGGAUGGACCUGUGUUUCAUUAGCUAGUUGGUAAGUGAACGGCUUACCAAGGCGAUGAUGCAUAGCCGGGGUGAGAGUAGGAUCAGCCACAUUGGGACUGAGACACGGCCCAAACGCCUACGGGAGGCAGCAGUAGGGAAUCUUCCACAAUGGACGAAAGUCUGAUGGAGCAACGCCGCGUGAGUGAAGAAGGUUUUCGGAUCGUAAAGCUCUGUUGUUGGUGAAGCGGUAAUCAACCAGAAAGUCACGGCUAACUACGUGCCAGCCGCCGCGGUAAUAC